CUCACGUCAUAGGAGCGGCCGAUGGCGGAUUAGCUAGUUGGUGAGGUAAAGGCUUACCAAGGCGACGAUCCGUAGCUGGUCUGAGAGGACGACCAGCCACACUGGGACUGAGACACGGCCCAGACUCCUACGGGAGGCAGCAGUGGGGAAUCUUGGACAAUGGGGGCAACCCUGAUCCAGCCAUUCCGCGUGAGUGAAGAAGGCCUUCGGGUUGUAAAGCUCUUUCAGCUGGAACGAAACGGUGCGCUCUAACAUAGCGUGCUAAUGACGGUACCAGCAGAAGAAGCACCGGCUAGCUACGUGCCAGCAGCCGCGGUAAUACGUAGGGUGCGAGCGUUAAUCGGAAUUACUGGGCGUAAAGCGUGCGCAGGCGGAUUGUUAAGCAAGAUGUGAAAUCCCCGGGCUUAACCUGGGAAUGGCAUUUUGAACUGGCAGUCUAGAGUGCGUCAGAGGGGGGUGGAAUUCCACGUGUAGCAGUGAAAAUGCGUAGAGAUGUGGAGGAACACCAAUGGGGNAAGCAGCCCCCCUGGGAUGACACUGACGCUCAUGUACGAAAGCGUGGGUAGCAAACAGGAUUAGAUACCCUGGUAGUCCACGCCCUAAACGAUGUCAACUGGUUGUUGGGGGAGUGAAAUCCCUUAGUAACGAAGCUAACGCGUGAAGUUGACCGCCUGGGGAGUACGGUCGCAAGAUUAAAACUCAAAGGAAUUGACGGGGACCCGCACAAGCGGUGGAUGAUGUGGAUUAAUUCGAUGCAACGCGAAAAACCUUACCUACCCUUGACAUGUCCAGAACCCUGCAGAGAUGCGGGGGUGCCCGAAAGGGAAUUGGAACACAGGUGCUGCAUGGCUGUCGUCAGCUCGUGUCGUGAGAUGUUGGGUUAAGUCCCGCAACGAGCGCAACCCUUAUCAUUAGUUGCUACGCAAGGGCACUCUAAUGAGACUGCCGGUGACAAACCGGAGGAAGGUGGGGAUGACGUCAAGUCCUCAUGGCCCUUAUGGGUAGGGCUUCACACGUCAUACAAUGGUCGGUACAGAGGGUUGCCAAGCCGCGAGGUGGAGCCAAUCCCAGAAAGCCGAUCGUAGUCCGGAUUGUUCUCUGCAACUCGAGAGCAUGAAGUCGGAAUCGCUAGUAAUCGCGGAUCAGCAUGUCGCGGUGAAUACGUUCCCGGGUCU
rnacentral:rRNA from 1 species